rnacentral:rRNA from 1 species
CUUGAACGCUGGCGGCAGGCUUAACACAUGCAAGUCGAGCGGGGAAGGUUGCUUCGGUAACUGACCUAGCGGCGGACGGGUGAGUAAAGCUUAGGAAUCUGCCUAUUAGUGGGGGACAACAUCUCGAAAGGGAUGCUAAUACCGCAUACGUCCUACGGGAGAAAGCAGGGGACCUUCGGGCCUUGCGCUAAUAGAUGAGCCUAAGUCGGAUUAGCUAGUUGGUGGGGUAAAGGCCUACCAAGGCGACGAUCUGUAGCGGGUCUGAGAGGAUGAUCCGCCACACUGGGACUGAGACACGGCCCAGACUCCUACGGGAGGCAGCAGUGGGGAAUAUUGGACAAUGGGGGGAACCCUGAUCCAGCCAUGCCGCGUGUGUGAAGAAGGCCUUUUGGUUGUAAAGCACUUUAAGCGAGGAGGAGGCUACUGGUAUUAAUACUACCGGAUAGUGGACGUUACUCGCAGAAUAAGCACCGGCUAACUCUGUGCCAGCAGCCGCGGUAAUAC